UGCCACUUCUGAUACUCCUUUAACACCAG
rnacentral:piRNA from 1 species